rnacentral:tRNA from 1 species
GCCCCGGUAGCUCAGCGGUAGAGCGCCUGCCUCGUAAGCAGGAAGUCGUGGGUUCAAAUCCCACCCGGGGCU